UCACUCUGUUGCCCAGGCUGGUCUCAAACUCCUGGCUUCAAGCAAUCCUCCUGCUUCGGCCUCCCAAACUUCUGGGAUUACAGAUAUGAGCCACCACGGCUGGCUGACAGGCACCAAAUUCUAGGAGAGGACUUGAAUAGACUCCCAAGGAGGCAGCAGAAACUGGGGUAAUCACAACGGUCAACAGCAGCAAAGGCAGCACUUUCUGAUUUACUUGACUGCUAUGGAUGCCACCUCUCUCCACGCCUCAGUUUAAUAUCUGUAAGUUUGGAGGCCCUGUAAGGCAGCUUCAGACAACGGGCUCCACCUCAGCAGGAGCAGCUGGGAGCCUGGGCUCUUCUUUCUGAAACUGCCUUCAGAGUUGGAUGGAAGAAGGGCAAUUGCCAAAAACCUGGCUGAAUCUGUGCUCAGGUGGAAUUUUCUAUCUCAGCUGCUGCUGAAAUCAAAGAUGAGCUCAGGCACUGGUCUUCCAAGAUGUCAAAGCACAAGUCCUUUCAGAAAGUGAACUCACGUGGACCCCAACUAUGUGAAAUUGCUGCAUUUGGAGCUGCUCUGUCCCAGUGGUGUGGGCAGCUUUCUGCUGGACUCUUCUAGCCACAGGGAGGAUACCCUUCCUCCCAGGAUAGCCCCCAAGGCACUGUGUCUGAAAGCCCCUUAUUUUGAAGAGAAGAAAAAUAAAGUCCUAAAAUGUUGAGGUGACAUCUUAGCUUGGGUUCCCCACAAAACAGAGCCAGAGGCAAAGGCUUGGGUGCCAGUAGUUUAUCUGAAGGUGAUUCCAGA
ensembl:lncRNA LAMTOR5-AS1 LAMTOR5 and SLC16A4 antisense RNA 1